GCUUUUUGGUAGUUUACUACUAGAAAUGACUGAGCGGCGAACGGGUGAGUAACGCGUGAGCAAUCUACCUUAGUUACUGGGAUAGCCCGAGGAAACUCGGAUUAAUACCGGAUAUUCUUAUUUUUUCACAUGAAGUUUUAAGGAAAGGUCAGCCGAACUAAGAUGAGCUCGCGUUCUAUCAGCUAGUUGGUGGGGUAAAAGCCUACCAAGGCUACGACGGAUAGCUGGUCUGAGAGGACGAUCAGCCACACUGGGACUGAGACACGGCCCAGACUCCUACGGGAGGCUGCAGCAGGGAAUAUUGUGCAAUGAGCGAAAGCUUGACACAGCGACACCGCGUGUGGGAUGACGGUUCUAGGAUUGUAAACCACUUUCAGGAGGGAAGAAAAUGACGGUACCUCCACAAGAAGACCCGGCCAACUAUGUGCCAGCAGCCGCGGUAAUACAUAGGGGUCAAGCGUUGUCCGGAUUUAUUGGGCGUAAAGAGCUCGUAGGCGGUUCAACAAGUCGGUCGUAAAAGUUUAGGGCUCAACCCUAAAAUGUCGAUCGAUACUGUUGUGACUAGGAUACGGUAGAGGUGAAUGGAAUUCCGAGUGUAGCGGUGAAAUGCGUAGAUAUUCGGAGGAACACCAAUUGCGAAGGCAGUUCACUGGACCGUGAUCGACGCUGAGGAGCGAAAGCUAGGGGAGCAAACAGGAUUAGAUACCCUGGUAGUCCUAGCUGUAAACGAUGGAUACUAGAUGUAGGAACUGGAUUGACGGUUUCUGUAUCGUAGCUAACGCG
rnacentral:rRNA from 3 species